GGUGCUACUGUCUAGCAAAAAAGUACACUGGGGUUCAAGUCUCAAGUACUACCUGUGGGGGAUAUGCAUGUUCUUCCUGUAUCUGCAUGGGCUUCCUCUCAUAUUUCAAGACCAUACAGAGUAGGAGGACUGACAAAGCUAAACUGGCCUCUGAUGGAUAUGUGUGUUCACACUGCAAUGGACUGGUGCCCCAUCAUGCAGGGACUGUUUCUGCCUUGUGCCUGGUGCUUGCUGCGAUAAUCAGCUUUCCCCAGCUCUAGGUGCACUCCAAGGCAGCUCUUCACUAACUUAUUUUGAGUUAGUUCAAACUAUACAACUGAAGACACUGUUACAGUUUGAAGAUACGUCCGCUCCAACUAGCAACCACAGAGAGUCAGUCCAGCUAUGCUGAAGAGGCAGUGGCAGGAAACAGUAAAGGAAGGACAGCAACAGCAACAAUUGUUUCUCUAAAAUAAAUUCUUCUGUGCUCUCCUUAUACCGCUAGCGGACCGUGAAAUUCAAGAUGGCGCUCACCCGACAGCAACACAGCUGGUGUGUGUUGGAGUUUCAUACAACAAAAAGUGACUGUGCAGCGUGCUUUCAGACGCAAAUUUCAUGAGAAUCCACCUACUAACAAAGUCUAUUUUGUUCCUUUGGGGGUACAUGAAAGACAGAGUGUACAUACUGCCACUACCCACAACAAUGGAUGAUCUGCAGGAACGUAUCACUGAAGCUAUAAAUGCGAUUACACCGGAUAUGCUCCUGAGAGUCUGGUCCGAGCUCGAUUGUCGCAUCGAUGUUUGCCGAGUAACAGAACCCACUUAGUCCUAUCACGUCCUAAUGAGCUGAAUGACUUCCGGCCUGUCACUCUGAUGUCACAUGUGAUGAAGACCAUGGAGCGGCUGCUG